UACGAAGGGUGCAAGCGUUAUCCGGAUUCAUUGGGUUUAAAGGGUGUGUAGGCGGGGCAAUAAGGCAGUGGUGAAAUCCUGCGGCUUAACCGUAGAAUUGCCAUUGAUACUGUUGCUCUUGAGUAGGCUCGACGUGGGCGGAAUGUGCCGUGUAGCGGUGAAAUGCGUAGAUAUCUGGAGGAAUACCGGUGGCGAAGGCGGCAUCCUGGACCGGCAUUGACGCUGAUGAGCGAAAGCUAGGGGAGCAAACGGG
rnacentral:rRNA from 1 species